UGCACUCAAAUUUGUAUGCAGUUGGAACAGCGCCCCUAGCGGCAAACGUACGCAAACGUUCCAACUCCAUACAAAUCUGAGUUA
rnacentral:pre_miRNA from 1 species